AAGCUCGUAGUUGAAUUUCGGGAUCAAUGUUUCGGUCAUGCCGUUGGUAUGUACUGAUAUUAUUGAUUUCUCACCUUCUAAAGAACCGUAAUGCCAUUAAUUUGGUGUCACGGGGAAUUAGGGCUGUUACCUUGAAAAAAUUAGAGUGUUUAAAGCAGGCUCACGCUUGAAUACAUUAGCAUGGAAUAAUGAAAUAGGACAUCCGAUUCUAUUUUGUUGGUUUCUAGGAUCGAUGUAAUGAUUAAUAGGGAUAGUUGGG
rnacentral:rRNA from 1 species